rnacentral:rRNA from 1 species
UGGCGGCGUGCCUAACACAUGCAAGUCGAACGCGAAAGUCCCGCAAGGGAUGAGUAGAGUGGCAAACGGGUGAGUAACACGUGGGUGACCUGCCUUCGAGCGGGGGAUAACGUCCCGAAAGGGACGCUAAUACCGCAUGACAUCCUGCCUUUGAAGAGGUGGAGAUCAAAGCUGGGGAUCGCAAGACCUAGCACUUGAAGAGGGGCCCGCGUCUGAUUAGCUAGUUGGUGGGGUAACGGCUCACCAAGGCAACGAUCAGUAUCCGGCCUGAGAGGGCGGACGGACACACUGGGACUGAGACACGGCCCAGACUCCUACGGGAGGCAGCAGUGGGGAAUUGUUCGCAAUGGGGGAAACCCUGACGAGGCAACGCCGCGUGGAGGACGAAGGCCUUCGGGUCGUAAACUCCUGUCGACCGGGACGAACGCUAUUGGGCCCAAUACGCCCGAUAGUCGACUGUACCGGUGGAGGAAGCCACGGCUAACUCUGUGCCAGCAGCCGCGGUAAUACAGAGGUGGCAAGCGUUGUUCGGAAUUACUGGGCGUAAAGGGCGCGUAGGCGGUCUGGUCAGUCCCGUGUGAAAUCCCCCGGCUCAACUGGGGAACUGCACGGGAAACAGCCGGGCUUGAGUUCGGGAGAGGGAAGCGGAAUUCCGGGUGUAGCGGUGAAAUGCGUAGAUAUCCGGAGGAACACCGGUGGCGAAGGCGGCUUCCUGGACCGAUACUGACGCUGA